CCGCCGGCGGGAAAGAUCAAACGAGAAGGCCGCGCAUUAUGGCGGAGCCCGGCACGGAGCAAGGUACCGCAUAUUCUCAGAGACUACGAGCUGCUGUUCACUACACUGUUGGAUGUCUUUGUGAAGAGACUGGGGAGAAUAAAGAAGUAGAGUUCAGUAAACAAACAAUUGCUGCCAUAUCUGAAACAACCUUCAGACAGUGCGAGAAUUUUGCCAAAGACCUUGAACGAUUUGCAAAGCAUGGCAAGAGGACCACCAUUAAUACUGAUGAUGUGAAACUGCUAGCAAGAAGGAGCAAAGCACUGGAAAACUUCAUUACAGAGAAAUGUAAUGAACUUGCUGCUAGUAAUGCUGAGCAAAAAGAAAAGAAAAUCAUCACUGCUGGAAAAGGAAAGAAGAAAUCUGGUAACCACGGAGAAUCCAGAAUAAUAGAAAACGAAGACACUACAGAUAACUAAUCUGCAAUUUGAAAACUUGGACAUAGGACUGACUACAUCCACGAAACAAGAAGCCUCAAAGAAUGAAGGACAGAAACAUCAGACCCCCAAAGCAUCCCCUCCCCCCUACCACAAACAAGCAGCAACAGAAGCAUCGACCCUCCCCCAACCCCUUCAAGCACUUUGAAGCAUUUCUGUAGGACAUUAUGAUCAGGAAAGUCCUGAUUUGCUCAGGGCCUCAUGAGUAAGUUAGGAGACAUCAACACAAGACCAAAUCAAGGAGUUGACCAGAAGUAAAAAGUCACUGAUAUUGAAGCUGCUGGCUGGCUUGUUGGAAAUUGAUGAUCAUCUUUCUGAAAGUGGCUUUAUGUAUUCGAACACAGAAGAGGCAGAAGAGACUUCACGUGAGGGGAGGUCAGUAGCUGGAGGAA